AAGUCGUAACAAGGUUUCCGUAGGUGAACCUGCGGAAGGAUCAUUAACACGUAUCCAACGUUAAACCCCCCGUGCACCUUCACAGAGCGCGCUGCUCCUCUCGACGUCAGCAAUCCUGGUAAAUCAGUGGCGAAAGUAGUCUUUGAUUCAGGACCUUUGAAGUUGUAAGCAGGCAGUUUGAGCCUUCUAUCGCCAGUCUGGAGUCCUGGCCGGGCGGAUGAAAGUGUCGCUAGACGGUUUCUAGGGUAAGGCUUCUCCAUCGCCGGUGUAUCACACGCCGAAGCGGACAGACUGCAGGGUGUAGUGCCCCUUUACGACGACCAAGUUAAAUUAGGCCUCUACCACAUAGCAAGUGCGCCGUGGUAGAGGAAAACGUACAACUGUUAACAAUGGAUAUCUUGGUUCUC
rnacentral:misc_RNA from 1 species